AGGAACAAGGAGGUCUGGGGCAGCUGCUGCGGCAGUGAUAGACUCGUGUGCCAUG
rnacentral:sRNA from 1 species